AGCCCACCCUUGGAGAACCACUGGGCUAUAGAAUGAUGUCAAGGGCUGGAGAGGGAGGCUACAGAGUGGGUCUAGGUCCAGGUACAGUCUCAGAACCACACUGCAAAACUGGCUUAGUCAGGUAGCUGCUGUAUCUGCUGCUUCCACUGUGAACUCAAAAACCACAUUGCCUGUGCUGCAGGCCGGAAAGCUGCUGAACCAGGAAGCUGUGCUGAUGCUGCUGACUGCCCCUGAGGUUAGAGAUUGACUAGACAUAGUGCCACUGUCAUCCCUGCUGGAGAAGGUCCGAAGCACCUCCACCUCUGUGCUUCCAGAGGGGCACUGUGGUGGCCACUUAAAAUGCUCAGGCUAUACCAUGCACUAGAGCAUCUACCUGGGCAAGGGAUAUGCUGUAUGACACUCUCCUGAUGCUGGGCAUGGCUGUGAGCCAAAGCACCCAGGCAGCCCUGCCAUCAGAAGGGUAAACCACGGACACCUGAUGCCUUCCUGAAGGAAGAGCACUACGCCUGCCAAACCAUCAAGCGUUGAUGCUCCAGCGCCUUCUACCCGUGGUUCUCCAGCCUCAGCAGAAGAGAGAGAAAUUGAUGACCCUGUCGUUGUAGCAUCCCCAUCACCCAGCAAUUAAUUUUAGUUCAAUGCUUCAAACGCUCUUCAGGCGCAGUGUGCGUUCAGCUGUGUCAGCUAAUGCAAAUGGGGGAUCUCAGAAGUCUUAAUGAAGUAACUAUCCCUGAACACUGGGAUCAAUACUCAGCAUCCAGCUGUCAAAUCAACACCAAGCGUUUCACUCGUCGCCCAGCCUAGAGUGCAAUGGCGCUAUUUCGGCUCAUUAUAACCUCCGCCUCCCGGGUUCAAGCAAUUCUUCUGCUUCAGCGUCCCAAGUAGCUGGGAUUACAGGUGAGCACCAUCAUGCCUGGCUAAUUUUGUAUUUUUAGUGGAGAUGGGGUUUCACCAUACUGGCCAGGCCGGUUUCAAACUCCUGACCUCAGGCGAUCCGCCCUCCUUGGCCUCCCAAAGUGCUGGGAUUACAGGGAUGAGCCACCACCGCGCCCGGCCUUGAUGUACUUUUUCUAUUAAAUGAUCUAAGAACAAUUUUACGGGCAGAAAGUAUGACUGUAAUAAAUGUAUGCAAUCCAAAACUACCACCCACCAUCUAUGAAAAUACAAAAAUCAAGCUGUCAUGCCAAAUCUAACUGGUUACUUCUGUUUCUCUGCUAAUAGUCGUUAGCUACACUCAUUUAUUUGUUUUAUUGUGACAGUGUCCACUGUCAGAUAAGUAAGAGCAGGUGCUGAAAUUUUAAGAAACAUUUGAGGGAACAUUUUCAAUGGAAUCUGUUGAAGUUGAGGUGCCUUUAGUACACUAGUAUAACUGCAUCACCCCUGAGUGUUAGCGAUAAGUGCAAUGAUUUAAUUUUACUGUGGAACUCCCAAGUCCAGCUUAUGGAAUAAAUUCCGGAUCAUAGUUUGAGAACUACUGGCUUAAAGGGUCCCAUUUCUUGCUUCUUUAAGUGUCAAACAGUGACUGUGAGAUAUAUAUAUAUAUAUAUAUAUAUAUUCCUGGCCCAAGUGAUGGGCAAGCUUCAAAGCAGUUGAGGACUCCAGUCAAAACUAACUGUGCCCCCUGAGUGUUCUAGCUCUGAGGAUUUGGUCCCUGGCUUCUUCCUUCAAUCUGCACCAUCAAGAAGCAUUCUUGGCCAGGUGCAGUGCCUCACACCUGUAAUCCCAGCACUUUGGGAGGCCGAAGUGGGUGGGUCACUUGAGGUCAGGAGUUUGAGACCAGCCUGGCCAACAUGGUGAAACCUCAUCUCUAACUAAAAAUACCAAAAUUAGCUGGGAGUGAUGGCCUAUGCCUGUAAUCCCAGCUACUCAGGAGGCUGAGGCACAAGAACUGCUUGAACCUGGUAAGAGGAGGUUGCAGUGAGCCGAGAUCAUACCACUGCACUCCAGCCUGGCCAACUGAACGAGACUCUGUCUCAGAGAAAGAAAAAAAGAAAAAAAAUCUUCUAGGCUCUGCACAUAGGCCAUGUGCUAAAAUCAGCAUUCCAAGGGCCAGAAGGACUCCUAGAGGCAUCUUUCAGAUGCUGACACUAGUUCAGAGCCUCACAGAUAGCUCCAGUUUCUGCCUAAGUACCUUCAGGGACUGGGAGCUCACUACUUCCCCCAAAAAAGGUUCUUAUGAACCAUCAUCUCCUAUCUCCACCCUCUAAAACCACCCAGUUCUUAACUUCUGCUUUGUUUUUGCUAUCAGCACUCUCUGCCUUGUAUUGUUGUUAUUUGGAUACUUAACUGUCACACAGUGGUAAGGGCUUAGGUUUUGGAACCACUUGCAUUAGAAUCCCAGCUCCGUAUUUAUCUCCACCAUUUACCAGCCAUGUGACCUUGGCAAAUUACUUAACCUCUCUGAGCCUCAGUUAUCGCCUAUAUGGGAUGGGAAUAACCUUAGGGUCUAUUUCAAGGAUUAUUCGGAGGCCUAAGGUAAUGGGAGGAAUCUGCUUGACAUGUAGAAAGCUCUCAGUACAGCAUAGAUAUUAUUAUUAUUCCUCUGCUAGACUACAAAAUCUCUGAGGGCAGGGACCUCUUCUUGGAUAUCUUUGAACCCCUCCAUAACAGUGGGCAAAGUGUCUGUCAGAGGGUUUUAAUGAAUGCAUCACACAAAAGAGACCGUACUGAACAAGAGAGACAGGAAGCUUGGAUAAUUAUUUGAAUAUCUACAGUCAUCAGAAGGCUUAUAAAUGUAAAGCCAAAGCUCCUGCCAAAGAAAUGUGUGGAGCAGAAAAGAAAACCCAGAGCAGAAUGUCAAGAGCAAGGAUGUGUUGGGACAGGAAAUGAAGACGAGAUUGGGAGAGGUCAUGCAGAAUCAGGUCACAUUCUGGAGGGAAGAAGGAGCAAAGGCACAUGAUGAGAGAGUGCUAAUUAAGGUGGCCAAAGAGAACAGUGUGGUGCUGUAAAUGCCGGCAGAGCAAGGAGCCCUGCUGCCAGCCUGACCCAACACAGUCACGUUGAUGAAAAUGGAAAAGGAUGGCUGGAGGCCUUCAGUUGCAAAGUUCUCCAUUGUCAGAUUACGCUGCCUGAUGGGCAUGAAAAGUCCACAAAAGAGAAUUUUCUGAUGUGAGAAUGGAGGGUGUUGCCUGCAACUACCCCAGAUCCCUGCGGUGGCAGUUUAAGCCGCCUCCUGGAGCAGAUUGUUAAGCUGAUGCGAGUCUGGGCUCUGCCUCACCACUUGUCUCAGAGACAGAGUCUUGCUCUGUCACCUAGGCUGGAGUGCAGUGGUGCCAUCACAGCUCACUGCAGCCUCGACCUCCCCGUGCUCAAGUGAUCCUCACACCUCAGCCUCCCGAGUAGCCGCGAUCACAAGUUAAACAAACACAGUUCUUUACAUCAAUGCUUCCGUCCCUGGCCAUCUGGUCUCCUGUCCCCUCCAGACCCAAAACCAUGGGCUGGGCUGCAGCAAAAUGAGGGUGUACUCAGUGCACUGAGGCCCAUGUACCAUGAGAGAUGGAGAAAGCCUUGGCCGGAGUUUAAGGAUUUGGGGCUGGGCACAGUGGCUCGUGCCUGUAAUCCUAGCACUUUGGGAGGCCAAGGCAGGAGGAUCACUUGAGGCCAAGAGUUUGAGACCAGCCUGAGCAACAUAGUGAGACUCUCAUUUCUAAAAAUAAAAAAGUUAGGCCUGGCACAGUGGCUCAUGCCUAUAAUCCCAGCAGUUUGGGAAGCUGAAUCAAGAGGAUCACUUGAGGCCAGGAGUUUGAGCCCAGCCUGGUCAACAUAGUGAGACUUUAUCACUACAAAAAGUUUUUAUUUAUUUAUUUUUUUUGAGACAGGGUCUCGAUUCAUCACUUAGGCUGGAGUGGAGUGUGCAAUCACAGCUCACAGCUCACAGCAGCCUCGACCUCCUGGGUUCAAGCCAUCCUCCCACCUCAGCCUCCUGAGUAGCUGGGACUACAGGCAUACACCACCAUGUCUGGCUAAAUUUUUGUACUUUUUGUAGAGACAGGGUUUCGCCAUGUUGCCCAGGCUGGUCUCUAGCUCCUGGGCUCAAGCAAUCUGCCUGCCUCAGCCUCCCAGAGGCCUGGAACUACAGGCGUGAGCCGCUGCUCUUGGCCAUUUUUAAUUUAAGAGACAGAGUCUCGCUUUGUUACCCAGGCUGGAGUGCAGUACCCUUACUGCAGCCUUGAACUACUGGGCUCAAGCCAUCCUCCCACCUCAGCCUCUCAAGUAGCUGGGACUACAGGUGUGUGUCCCCAUGCCCAGCUGACUGAGCUACCACCAUGCCACUGCAUGCCAGUUGUGACAAAAAUGUCCAGUGCUAGGAGACUCAUAAGUUGGAGAGAAACGGCCUGAUUUAUAGAAACUGAGCGAGACUCCGGACCACCUGAUGCAGAGAAACCUGUGACCUGAAAAAGUCUAUUUGUGUUUCCUCUAGGAAUCUCGGCCAAGAAGACAGGGACAAGCUCCCAACUCUGACUACCCCUUUUACAGGGAAAAAAAAAAAAUCCCGUGCCUUCUUUGCAGCAAGUGACAAAUCCUUGUCAUAUCGAGAUGGCUUUUCCUCCUCCUCUUCAAACAUCUUUUAGCAGCAACAGCAGCUCAAGUAACUGGAAUUAUUUCAGAGUUAAAAUGCAGGCUUUGUAGACCCUCUUAGACAGACAGAUUCAAUUUCAAAGGAAACUUCUUUGGCUGGGUACUCAGUGAGUGUUACACAGGGAUUUGGGGAGUUAAUAUUCACUGUUUCUGUUGUUGGAGAAAAGGAAAGCAGAGUUGCUCUUUCUCAUUACUCUCCCCAACGCACAUCUGUUUCCUCUCGUAUCUUGGAAUUAGGAAGAUGGAGGAGACUUAAGUGGUGACCCACCUAGCCUCCUGAUGCAUGCUGGGCUCACUUUAAAACUCCCAAAACAGAUGGCAGUUGAUCACGGUUUUAAAGAUCCCAGCAUAGACUUUCUGCAGCCUCCCUUGUUAGCCACUAUCAGCGCUUAACAUUCUGUCAUCUGAAUAACUCCUUAAAAAUGAUAGCAAUGGUAGUAGAAAUUUAAAAGGAACCUCCCAAAAAACAUGCAAAAGCUUACCACCCCAGUAAAUCACCCGCAACAAUGUCGCAACAGUUUAAAUUUACUGCAGAGAGAGCUGAAGUUUAGGAGACACAGCUUUAUAAUAUUUUUGAGAGAUAGUUGAGUGCAAAUGAGUCCUGUUCCUCUUGCAUCAGGGCCUGCUCCACUGAGUCAUCCUGCCUUCAGAAGCUUCCAGCUAAGUGGCAGGCCCCGGCCAUAGGCUCCCUGUGUCCCCAGCCUCCAGAGAACACACAAUGUUCUCAUCGCCCUUAGCUCCAUUCCAGAAGGGGCCUGCAGUUCUGCAGCUUAUCAGGGGUCUACUGGGAAGUGAGAUGUCACUGUCCCUUUCUGGCCCUGCAUUGUCUGUGAGUGGCUCUCCUGGAUUAAGAGUUGGCAAAGUAUGGCCAGUGGCCAGGACUGGCCUGCUGCCUGUUUUUGUUUAACCCGUGAGCUAAGAAUAGUUUUUACCUAUUUUAAGUAGUUGAAAAAAAAAUCAAGAGAAGAAUACUAUUUCGUGAUAUGUGAAAAAUCACAUGAAAUUCAAAUGUAAGUGUCCAUAAAUAAAGUCUUACUGGAAGACAGCCUUGCUCAUUUAUUUCUGUCUCAUUCGCUACUGUCUGCGGCUGCCUUCACGCUACAAUGGCAGUACUGAGUAGUUGUGACGGGCACUGUAUGACAGCAAAUCCUAAAGUAUUUGCCAUCUGGCCCUUCACAGAAAAAGUUUGCUGACCCUGGCUUUCGAGCCUCUCAUCACUUUGGGAUUCAUCUCUUUACUUUCCCCAGAGUGAGGGAGGCAGUAACGUUCCUCGUGAGUGCUUAGUCCUUGCUCCCAAGGCAAUAAACCCCCCAAAACCCCUCUCUUUCUGCAGUCUUCUUGUUGGCUUGAUAGUGGUAGGGCUGGUUCAGCCAAGGUCACAGUUGGAGGGCAGGAAGGGGGUACAGCGAAGGACGACGGGGGUGUCUUCUCUAGUCCUGUUUGCAGCAAUCUUUAGAAUGCAAAAUAAUUAAGAAGAAACUGCUGUUUUUUGGCUGUGGGAUGCAAUUCGAAUUCUGGAAAAUUAGAAUCAACAGAACGUGGGAUGUGGGAGUCCAGGACAACUCCCCUGUUUUGGCUGUGUUUGGUGCCAUGUGUGGAGGUGGGAGAGAUGGGAGAAAGAAGAGGUUUGGGCAGGGGGAGGGAAGAAUCAAGAUUCUGCUUUGAAUGGACGAAGGUUGUGGUUUGUUGAGAGGACAACUAGAUAACUGGCCACUUGAAGAUGGGAUGGAAGUCUGAAUCUGCAAGGAGUCACAGAUGAAUGGUAUGGAAAGCUGUGGUAGUGGAUGAGAUCAUACGAACGGUGGGUGCAGAUGGAAACGAGAAGCCAUCUAAGGACUCGUAAUGGGCUCCUCAACACUUGGAAGUUGGGUAGAGGAAGAAGACCGCAUGAGGGCAGGAUCCUGAAUGUUCCACUCACUGCUAUAUCCCUAGCACUGGUUACAGUGCUUGGCACACACUGCAUGCUCAAUAAAUUAUUUGUUGCCCAUAUAAGUGAACGUGAAUUCCAAUGGACUAGCAUCUUCCACUCUCAACAUAAACAAAAACAACAGCAACAUUGCAAUUCCCUAUCUUCUCUUCCCUGAUCUCUUUCUCAUUCUGUCUCUCCUUCCCUUUUCCUCUGCCUUCCUGUUGCCUUCUCUGAUAUGAGUUAAAUUUAUCAGGGGUGUCCAGGUACCCGGCUAUUCUUGAGCAUUCCUUAUCUGGCUA
rnacentral:lncRNA from 1 species